rnacentral:rRNA from 1 species
CUACGGGCGGCAGCAGUGAGGAAUAUUGCACAAUGGGGGGAACCCUGAUGCAGCAACGCCGCGUGGAGGAUGACGCAUUUCGGUGUGUAAACUCCUUUUAUAUGUCAAGAAAAUGACGGUAGCAUAUGAAUAAGCACCGGCUAACUCCGUGCCAGCAGCCGCGGUAAUACGGAGGGGUGCAAGCGUUACUCGGAAUCACUGGGCGUAAAGGACGCGUAGGUGGGUUGGAAAGUCAGGUGUGAAAUCCUACAGCUUAACUGUAGAACUGCACUUGAAACUUCUAAUCUAGAGUAUGGGAGGGGGAGAUGGAAUUAGUGGUGUAGGGGUAAAAUCCGUAGAUAUCACUAGGAAUACCUAAAGCGAAGGCGAUCUCCUGGAACAUUACUGACGCUAAGGCGUGAAAGCGUGGGGAGCAAACAGGAUUAGAUACCCGUGUAGUC